ensembl:lncRNA
CCAUCAGCGGGCCAGGUGAUGGUGGGAGGAGCAGCUGAGGUGGCACCAGGGGUGACUCCAGCAAGGGGGGCGGCAUCAGGAGCGGGCGAGAAGAGCCUCUUCUUGGGAGCCCGAGAGGAGGGAGGCUGCUUGGCGGGACGACGCUGCUUCAGAGUUCGGGGUGUCCCCCGGCCUUAGGGUAAGACUGGACGAUGUCCAGGCUGAAUUCGAGGGCAUCUUCCUCAGGCCAGACAGCUUCGGCAGGCCCGGCAGCUCGUCCAGUGGACACGGUGAUCCGUGGACACGGUGAUCCGUACGGCGCAGUUGGAUGUACAUGACACAAUCCGUCUUCAAGCGGGGGUGAGACAGUACGUUCUCCUUGUAAAGUGCAGUGGGAAAAGGACCCCUCCUGCUGAGCCUGGCCACGCUGCUCCAUUGUGUCGUCCCCUGGAUGAGAUGCCAGAGGGGAUUAAGUCCUGGCCUCCACCUGAAACUCUUUGUGUGAGAAUAUAAGCAGGGCCUGGGUUGCUGGGGUUGAACCACUUGGCCGUGUGACUGCAGGUUGUGAUGGUUCCUUUGCCUACUACUGCCUGUGCUCCACUCCUCAAAGCCCAACUUCAUACCUGAAGCUCAGGUGGCAGAGCUAAUCAAGUAUAUCUGAAGGUAACCUUUAGUAGUGAGGUUGGUGUUGAAAUGUUUCUCUAAAACAAGUUAUUUCCCACCAAACCUACAGCAUCGAUUUCAGGGUAUUUGCUGUUAACGUGUAUGUUUUGAAUGUCAAUGUGUGUGCAUGUUGUACAUUGUAUAUGUCCAAUAAUGCAUAUGUAUCUAUAUUUAUAUCUACCAUAUAUACCAUACAUAUAUGUAUAUUCUUCAGGUGGAAUAUGAGUGCAUUUACUUCCUGAGUGCACUCCUGCCCUGGCUGAUAAUUUGUCUGAAAUUGGAGAAAGAUCUUUAUUUGAUAUGUCAUUUUUUCUGUUCAAUACAUUUUUCGCAAUGUGUGAUGUUCUGUUAACGCAGUCAACCAAUCAACCAACAUAACAUUAUUAAACCAACCAAUUACGAGACCACAUCAAUGUCCAACUGAUCUUACUGUAAAGUAGAAAGAAAAUCCCAUUGACCAAUCAGCAACGAAAAGGUGCUUAAUGAGACAAAAGCGAUACUUAGGGGGCCGG